AACAAGGAGAGGAAACAAGGAGAGGAAACAAGGAGAGGAAACAAGGAGAGGAAACAAGGAGAGCACAUCCUCAUAGGUCAGAGGGGAAACAAGGAGAGGAAACAAGGAGAGGAAACAAGGAGAGGAAACAAGGAGAGGAAAUAAGGAGAGGAAACAAGGAGAGGAAACAAGGAGAGGAAACAAGGAGAGGA